rnacentral:rRNA from 1 species
UACGGAGGUGGCGAGCGUUACUCGGAUUCAUUGGGUGUAAAGGGCAGGUAGGCGUUCCGCCAAGUUGGUAGUGAAAUCCUUUGGCUCAACCAAAGAACUGCUUCCAAAACUGGCGGAAUUGAGGAUGAAAGAGGAGAGCGGAAUUCCCGGUGUAAGAGUGAAAUCUGUAGAUAUCGGGAGGAACACCCGUGGCGAAAGCGGCUCUCUGGUUCAACCCUGACGCUGAACUGCGAAAGCUAGGGGAGCAAACAGG